rnacentral:rRNA from 1 species
GACGAACGCUGGCGGCGUGCCUAAUACAUGCAAGUAGAACGCUGAAGGAGGAGCUUGCUUCUCUGGAUGAGUUGCGAACGGGUGAGUAACGCGUAGGUAACCUGCCUGGUAGCGGGGGAUAACUAUUGGAAACGAUAGCUAAUACCGCAUAAGAGUAGAUGUUGCAUGACAUUUGCUUAAAAGGUGCAAUUGCAUCACUACCAGAUGGACCUGCGUUGUAUUAGCUAGUUGGUGAGGUAACGGCUCACCAAGGCAACGAUACAUAGCCGACCUGAGAGGGUGAUCGGCCACACUGGGACUGAGACACGGCCCAGACUCCUACGGGAGGCAGCAGUAGGGAAUCUUCGGCAAUGGACGGAAGUCUGACCGAGCAACGCCGCGUGAGUGAAGAAGGUUUUCGGAACGUAAAGCUCUGUUGUAAGAGAAGAACGAGUGUGAGAGUGGAAAGUUCACACUGUGACGGUAUCUUACCAGAAAGGGACGGCUAACUACGUG